rnacentral:precursor_RNA from 15 species
CCAGGGAGCCCUAGAUUGGGGGUUGUGGGGGGUCACUCUGGGCACCGCAGCACUGUGCUGGGGAUGUUGCAGCUGCCUGGGAGUGAUUUCACACAGUCCCCUCUGCCUCGAGGGGCACCC